rnacentral:ncRNA from 1 species
UUCAGUAAAAGGCAAACUUAUUGAAAAAUAAGGACGCAAAGCAACAGAUCUAAAGCGCCUCGGUGCAAGGAUGGCUGUGCUGCCUGA